GAGUCAUUAUUAUAAAAAGUAUUUUUAAUUUCCAAUUAAAAAGUAAGAUCUAAAUCUUAUGGCUUA
rnacentral:tRNA from 1 species